rnacentral:rRNA from 1 species
GAUGAACGCUGGCGGCGUGCCUAACACAUGCAAGUCGAGCGAACAGAGGUGGAACCUUCCCCCCUGCCAUUAGCGUCGGACGGGUGAGUGUCACGUGGAUACAAUCUCUCUUACAGUGGGAGACAAUAGGGAGACCGGACCUCUUACCGGAUAAUAUAUUGAACCGCAUGGUUCAAUAGAGAAAGACGGUUUCGCUUACACUUAACGUAGGACCCGCGCCGCAUUAGCAAGUUGGUAAGGUAAGGGCUUACCAAGGAGACGAUGGGUAGCCGACCGGGAAGGUGGAUGGGCAACACUGGACCGAGAAAACGGUCCAGACUCCUACGGGAGGCAGCGUUAGGGAAUCUUCCGCAAUGGGCGAAAGCCUGACGGAGCAACGCCGCGUGGGUGAGGAAGGUCUUCGGAUCGUAAGACUCUUUUAUUAGGGAAGAAGAAAUGUGUAAGUAACGAGGCACGUCUUGACGGUACCUAAUCAGAAAGCCACGGCUAACUACGUG